AGUGUUUGAUCCUGGCUCAGGAUGAAUGCUGGCGGCGUGCCUAAUACAUGCAAGUCGAGCGGUAACAGGGCUUCACCGUUUCCUUGACACUCCGGGCGUUUUCGCGGGAGGUUGGUUUUCGAGGGAACAGUGAAGCUGCUGACGAGCGGCGGACGGCUGAGUAACGCGUGGGAACGGACCCCAAAGUGAGGGAUAACGCACCGAAAGGUGUGCUAAUACCGCAUGUGAUCUUCGGAUUAAAGCUUUUGCGCUUUGGGACUGGCCUGCGUACGAUUAGAUAGUUGGUGAGGUAAUGGCUCACCAAGUCGACGAUCGUUAGAUGGUUUGAGAGGAUGAUCAUCCAGACUGGGACUGAGACACGGCCCAGACUCC
rnacentral:rRNA from 1 species